UUAGGAAGCUUGCUUCCAAAGAGACUUAGUGGCGAACNGNUGAGUAACACGUAGGUAACCUGCCCAUGUGCCCGGGAUAACUGCUGGAAACGGUAGCUAAAACCGGAUAGGUAUGAGGGAGGCAUCUUCCUCAUAUUAAAGCACCUUCGGGUGUGAACAUGGAUGGACCUGCGGCGCAUUAGCUGGUUGGUGAGGUAACGGCCCACCAAGGCGAUGAUGCGUAGCCGACCUGAGAGGGUGAACGGCCACAUUGGGACUGAGACACGGCCCAAACUCCUACGGGAGGCAGCAGUAGGGAAUUUUCGUCAAUGGGGGGAACCCUGAACGAGCAAUGCCGCGUGUGUGAAGAAGGUCUUCGGAUCGUAAAGCACUGUUGUAAGUGAAGAAUGCCAUAUAGAGGAAAUGCUAUGUGGGUGACGGUAGCUUACCAGAAAGCCACGGCUAACUACGUGCCAGCAGCCGCGGUAAUACGUAGGUGGCAAGCGUUAUCCGGAAUCAUUGGGCGUAAAGGGUGCGUAGGUGGCACGAUAAGUCUGAAGUAAAAGGCAACAGCUCAACUGUUGUAUGCUUUGGAAACUGUCGAGCUAGAGUGCAGAAGAGGGCGAUGGAAUUCCAUGUGUAGCGGUAAAAUGCGUAGAUAUAUGGAGGAACACCAGUGGCGAAGGCGGUCGCCUGGUCUGUAACUGACACUGAUGCACGAAAGCGUGGGGAGCAAAUAGGAUUAGAUACCCUAGUAGUCCACGCCGUAAACGAUGAGAACUAAGUGUUGGAGAGAUUCAGUGCUGCAGUUAACGCAAUAAGUUCUCCGCCUGGGGAGUAUGCACGCAAGUGUGAAACUCANAGGAAUUGACGGGGGCCCGCACAAGCGGUGGANUAUGUGGUUUAAUUCGAAGCAACGCGAANAACCUUACCANGCCUUGACAUGGAUAUAANUGUUCUAGAGAUAGAAAGAUAGCUAUAUAU
rnacentral:rRNA from 3 species